ensembl:lincRNA
AUGCUCAUUGUGAGGCACAGCAGAGACGACAUCAUGAGCAAGACCAAAAGAAUCAGGAUCUCAAGCAACCUAGUGCCGUUGUUCAAGGACCCUCUCAAAUGUCACCUCUGCGAAGCCUUCCUUGCCCUCUCAGCCAGAAGAGCCCUCCCUGGUCUAGGACUCUACAGUAAACUGGUGGAAGGAGUCUUGCCUGGGGCCAGAGCCCUGGUGACCAGGGGUGCCCUUGGGAGGUGUUUGUCAUCCUUGGAAAGAGGUACAGGAGCCACCGAAAUGUUUAGGACCAGGGCACCAGUGAAACACACGAUCCUCCUUUCAUGUAAUGCCUGGUAAGCAGGCAAGGAAAACGACGUUUCACUAAAAUGAGAGACUGCUGAUGUCACACCAAGUUUUAAAAAACUGGAGCACUAAAUUACAUAUGCAACAUGGUUAAAAAAUCUGGACGGCACCACAGCAGAUCAUUAGUGGUGGACGUUGUUUUGGGGCGUGGGACCAUGGGUUGUUUGGGGGUUUCUCUAGUCUUUGCAGUGGUUUCUAUGUUUCCUCUGGAGAACAUCUAUUACUUUUCUAAUAAAAAUAUUUAAAUAAGCCAUGUGUUUUCUCCUUUUUUAAAAAGAAAAAAUGGAAUGAAUCAUGAUUCAUUUAUGUAAGCAAGAUUCCAGCCAAUUCCUGCUCAGGGAAAGCCCUUGCUUACAUAAAAACUGGUAAAUAAGUGCAUUCUCAUGUUUUCGUUUAAAGUAAAAUGUUUAAAUGUUUACACAAUGUCCGUAGAUGAGUCCUUUUGUACUUAGCCGCCAGUCCUGAGCAGGCAGACUCAGUGGGCUUCCAGUCACCCAGGAAAUCAAGCAGCAGUGGUUUCUGUAGCAGGGGGCUUGGGGAAGAUGCAAUCACCCACCCAGCCAAGAAGUCCACUCAAGUCCCAUAAUUCCACCUCAUUCCUUGAUUUUGUGUCCCCAUGAGACAAAGCAAAAGGGAGGAGCUACUCUUUCCCCAGCCUGUUCUCUGUUCUGAUCCAUGUCUCUCUCAGCUGGUUCAAGUCUUUGAAUAAUUUUUUCCAUGGUGGUGGCAAGAAUGACAUUUUUCUGAGCCCUCUCACUCCAGCACAUCAUUUUGUUGCCAUUGCUUGCAAAGGACACUGUUCAGUAUCCUCUGCUGUGGUUUGCAGUGUAUCCUCCAAUGGUUCCCAGGGUGGUAUUACUGGGAGGUAGCGUGGAACACUUAGGAGGCGGGGCCUAGUGGGAGGAUUUUAGGUCAUUGGCACUUGGUGAUGUGAUCUCUCCCUUCUACAUGACAGUGCACCAUUGCCAUCCACUAUGUGGUGAUAGACACAAGAGGAGGGGCCUGCAAGAGCCUAUGUGACAAUGUUUGAACUCUUAGCACCCAGAAUUGUAAGCUAAAUAAAUCUCUUUCCUUUAUAAAGUUGGCCUGCUUCAUGUAUCUUGUUCAUAGGAAAGCAAAAUGGACGAGCAGAGCAUUACAGCCUGUUUAUCUCCAGUCCAUAGAUGUUGUUCUACUGAGGUCUCCUAUAUUUGCUGCUGCACAAAACCCUGAUUUUUCUUGCUUUUAUGUUGCCCAUUCCCAAAACCUAUCUUCAACCUCUGGUCAAUCUGAUGUUUAUAGUAUUUUCUUUUCUCUUUGCAAUUCAAAAAUGCCAUCAGAAUGUGUUUAAGGGACACUCACCUCACCCUUUCUUGUGUUCUGUAUGGGAGGCAAGGUUCCAUUUCUUGGGUGAAGACACAGAAGCUGGACCCUCAACUACCUCCCAGGUUUCUGGGACUUCCUCUCACACUCCUCAUAGACCACCCCAACUUUGCCCUGUGAGGCAAACCUGCUGUUAACAAAAAGUACCUGGAUGGUGGAGUCCCACUGGCUGGCAUUCAGGUAGAUCCCAGCUGUGCCACUUAAUUAAGGGGGUGACUUUAGGUGAGGCCCUUCCUGAGCCUAGGUCCUUCUCUUGGUGUCAGGAGCAUCAUCCUAGUGAGGCCUGUUGGCAGGGCACAGCAGGAUCACCCUCAGGACCAGAUCAGCACCAGCCCUUUUUGUUGCUCAGGCAUGAAAGUUCUCCACAUCCAUGUAUUUUUCUGGGCAGUGGAUGGCCCAGCUGUCCCCAACUCCAUCCUCUCAGCCACAGAC